UAAAACACUGGUUCCCGUACUAUCAUCGAAGUUAAGCAAUGUUGAGCCUGUUACUUACUAACACGGGUGACCGCUUGGAAAUACCAGGUGCUGUAAG